GUAGGGGGCUAGCGUUGUCCGGAAUCAUUGGGCGUAAAGCGCGUGUAGGCGGCCCGGUAAGUCCGCUGUGAAAGUCGGGGGCUCAACCCUCGGAAGCCGGUGGAUACUGUCGGGCUGGAGUACGGAAGAGGCGAGUGGAAUUCCUGGUGUAGCGGUGAAAUGCGCAGAUAUCAGGAGGAACACCGAUUGCGAAGGCAGCUCGCUGGGACGUAACUGACGCUGAGACGCGAAAGCGUGGGGAGCAAACAGGAUUAGAUACCCUGGUAGUCCACGCUGUAAACGAUGGGCACUAGGUGUGGGGGGUGUCGACUCCCUCCGUGCCGAAGCUAACGCAUUAAGUGCCCCGCCUGGGGAGUACGGCCGCAAGGCUAAA
rnacentral:rRNA from 1 species